GUUUUAAUAAUUUAAAUAAAAUACUGAUCUUGUAAAUCAGAAAUAAGUCUUCUUUUAAAGCU
rnacentral:tRNA from 1 species